rnacentral:lncRNA from 1 species
AUCUUUUGACUGCUGGAGGGCUUUUGAGUAUAUUUAACUAUAGACAUGAUUUUAAAUCAUCCUUUAUUAGAAUUCCAAAAUAUAAUAAUAGAAUUAAAACUCUGAAACAAAAUGAUAAGCCAAUGAAAAAGUGAACAUGGAGCAGGUAAAUGAAUUUCCUCAUUCACCUGUUUCAUAUUUGAGAGAGGAUUGGAUUUGACUUGUGUGUGCACUUAAGAAGUUUUGAAAAAUGAAACUUGUUAUAGAAUAGGCCUACUGUAAGUACCUUACCCUAUUUUGAAUUCUCUGAUUUCAGAGAGAUGUGAUGUCUGUCUUUUAUUUAUAGUAUGAAUUUUCAUAAAACAAAAAAAUUUCAUUAAACACUUUUUUUUUUCCUUCAAAAUAUGCGAAUAAUGAUUUAAAAUAUAUGCAUAAUAACGAUAAUGAAAUACAGAAAAUAUGAUUGUGAAUAUAAUUUGAAAAUAUGUGGGUAAUAAUGCUAAUGAAAUAUAGCAAACGUAAAAUAUAUAUAUAUAAAGAACAAACUAUAACAAUAAUCGGGUGUACUCAUGGGAAUCGUGAUCUCCUCCACCCUGAUGGGGAUGGGUGACUUUGAAUAUUCUGCCAGGUCAUGUCAUUCUCUGCCUGGGUGUCCCCAUGACGGAGCUGCAUGCGGGGGAUAUCUUGCACUAUAUGUUGGGGGCUCCUUGCUCUGAUAACUCCUAUUCUAUCAGUUCGGUUUGGGAAGGGAGGCGCCAUGUUUCCUUGGAUGACGGGAAUGCCGGAGGGGAAGUCGACCGGGUGGAGUAUUCCCCGCUUUCAUUAAGUUGUAAUACUAGACCCUGCCGGUACGAUCCCUUCCACUCCGCUCCGAUUAUCAGAAUCGGUUAGUACCGCUUUACAAGAUUCCGUGCAGUCGUAUCCCUGGGAAAUACCACCGACACCCUCAUGUUCCCGUGGGUGUCCCUCGGAGGAUUCCCUCACCCGUCUCCAUCGCUUCCUAUACAUCUUGCAGAUUAAUGGUUUUUCUUGGCAAAGCAUCUCUUCUCUCCGGCGCUUCCCAUCCACUCUGCUCUGUCGGGGCGGGAGUAUCUUCACAAAUUGGGUCCCAUACGUCGUACUCAUCUGCUCAUCCGUCAUUGGCCGAAUACUCGGAUGCCAUGACUGAAUAUAAAUAAUAAUAGAGCCAAUCUAAGUAUAAUCGUCGAGAAGGAAGAGAAUUAGGUAAAGAAAGAGUAGAGAGGAGAGAAAAGUGAAAAAACUGAAAGGAAAAAAAUAAUACAAUAAAAAUAUCAAUGAUAACAAUAAUGACAACACCAUACAAUACUAUUACGAAUUCCUUGCUUGUGGAAUUUCUUGAUGCUUACAGUCACUGGAAGCCCGUUCCCCAUUUUAAAUUUUCGCAUAUCGUCCCUCUCUAUCCGGGCUCCCUUAUAACCUUUGAUCAGUUCUUGCCGGUCCAUCUGUAUUCCCUAUACGGGCGCCUGUACGGACCACUGCUUGAAGUCGCGGAACCGGUCGCCCGUCCGAAGAGAGACGACGAACCGGAAGUUCUCCGCCUUCUCUUUUGUUUCCACAAUCUGAGUGACCACAUCUAAUCGCUGUCGAUUGUUAUAACUAUCGUGUAUCCCAGUAAUCAGGAAAAUAUAUUCCUGAUGGUACAAUAUGACACCAGACAUUCGGGGCGGGCAGGUUCAAACCUGUGAAUAUUGAGGCAAACUUCCUACCCCGAUGCUGU